rnacentral:rRNA from 1 species
GACGAACGCUGGCGGCGUGCUUAACACAUGCAAGUCGAACGGAAAGGCCUGCUUUCCCUUGUGGAUUGCGGGUACUCGAGUGGCGAACGGGUGAGUAACACGUGAGUGAUCUGCCCCCAACUUGGGUAUAAGCCUGGGAAACUGGGUCUAAUUCCCGAUAGGACUGCAGGGUGGUGCCUGUGGUGGAAAACGAUUUUCUAGUGGUUGGGGAUGAGCUCGCGGCCUAUCAGCUUGUUGGUGGGGUAAUGGCCUACCAAGGCGGCGACGGGUAGCCGGCCUGAGAGGGUGGACGGCCACAUUGGGACUGAGAUACGGCCCAGACUCCUACGGGAGGCAGCAGUGGGGAAUAGUGCACAAUGGGCGGAAGCCUGAUGCAGCGACGCCGCGUGGGGGAUGACGGCCUUCGGGUUGUAAACUCCUUUCGACCGCGAGGAAGCCACCUGGUUGGAAGGGUGGUGACGGUAGCGGUAGAAGAAGCACCGGCUAACUACGUG